CACGCCCAGAAGGAGCGAAACCGAGAAGUGGACCUUCCAGGAGUUUGGGAAAGGGGGAAACAGGAGCCUGAGUGAUGGGACACUAAUAGCAGGGGCGUGCCCUACGAGGGACCGGGUUUUAGGACCUUUAUGUAGCAGGAACCCUCACUUGAGGGUGGAAGACCAUAAGAAGGGCCGGAGUCCCAGGGAGGAGGUUUGGAGAAUACUACCAGUCUGUCAGGAGGCUUGGCCAGUCACAAAAAGCCACCCAGACGCGGCUGUACUGCCACAUGUUCACUGUCUGCCAAAGGAAAGAAGGGUCAGAGGCAGGGCGCUCGGUGGUUUGCUCAGCAGCACGGCAGCGACAUCAAGGACUGUGUGUCUGCACUUUGCCACUCGCAGUAUCCACGGUCCCCAGAGAGCUGGACGGCUCUAGGUCACUCCAGACAGAACUGCGCCUAGUCUGUGCUUCAUGUCAGCAAAGAGAACCUUCCCCCGGUGGGCCUCACCUGCCCAGCCUCUCCAGGAUGAGCUCAACCGUGCAACUUCCAGGGCUGGGCCUCUGCCACCAAGGGAAGGCUGGGCAGGGAACUGCCUGUUACACCCUCAUUUCAGGGGGCGAGAGAAGAUGCAUAUGGAGGGGACAGGCCAGAGAACAAGAGUGAGGAUGGAGUGUCCAGAAAGGAAGUGAAGAGUGUGGUUUCUCUGUGUAAUGAGACAUCUCAGCAAUAACAAGGAACAAGCCAGUGACACCUGCUGCACACUGAAGGAUUCUCCAAAGCACGAUAGAGGGAAAGAAGCCAGAUGUGAGACCACAUGUAUUAUUAUCCCGUUUGUAUGAAGUGUCCAGAAAAGGCAGGUUCAUAGAGAGGGAAGCCUAAGGCUAGGAGUGGGGAUUGGCAGCAAAUGGGCAAAGGGGUCUUUUGAGGGUGAUGGAAAUGUUCUUAAAAGUGGAUCCAUGGUUGUCCAACUCUGAAAGUUUACCAAAAGUCAUUGAAUUGUAUGCUUUAAACAGGCGAAUUUUAUGGUAUGUAACAGCAAUAAAGCUGCUAAAAAAGAAAGGAAGAGCACUGGUCCUCAGUGUUGAGUGCUGCAGGGAGAUGGGUAAAGCAGGGGCGACUCGGUGGCGGAGGCGAGCAGCUGGGCCGGGUGGCCUUCCAGAGAGCAGCAUGCAGGGCUCAGAAGAGCAGACGCACAUGUGGCCUGCCCGGAAGAACAUCUCAACCAGGGAAGCGCAUCUUCUCUCUCAGUCAUGUUUUAAAGCUGAGGAAUUUCCCUAUUAGAUUUGGAAAAGUUAGAACUUUUGGAAGUCAAAGUUUCUUUAAAUUAACCUAAUACCAUAAAAGCCUUGGAGAAGUGGAGAGUUCCAAACAAGCCAAAAAUACUGUGUAUUAUAAAAUUAUUAAAAGUUGGUUUUACUCUUGUGGGAUAGAAAUCAGAAAGUGAUUGCUGGGGUAGGGGAGGCUCGCCGACUGGAAAGGGGCCUGUGGGGACCUUGUAGGGUGAUGGAGAGUUCUGCAUCUUGUUUGGGUGAUUACAUAGAUAUGUACAGUUGUGGAAACUCAUCUAGCUGAACUCUUAAAAACUGUGUAUUUUACCUUGUGUGAAUUAUGCCUCUAAAAACAUGGAAUAUACACGA